UACGUAGGGUGCAAGCGUUAAUCGGAAUUACUGGGCGUAAAGCGUGCGCAAGCGGUUUUGUAAGUCUGUCGUGAAAUCCCCGGGCUCAACCUGGGAAUUGCGAUGGAGACUGCAAGGCUAGAAUCUGGCAGAGGGGGGUAGAAUUCCACGUGUAGCAGUGAAAUGCGUAGAGAUGUGGAGGAACACCGAUGGCGAAGGCAGCCCCCUGGGUCAAGAUUGACGCUCAUGCACGAAAGCGUGGGGAGCAAACAGG
rnacentral:rRNA from 1 species